UCGGGUAUGGUGUAACGGCUAACAUUGCCGCCUCUCAUAUUCGGAACGCGGCAGCUCGGGGUUCGAUUCCCCGUACCCGAA
rnacentral:tRNA from 1 species